rnacentral:rRNA from 1 species
UACGGAGGGUGCAAGCGUUAUCCGGAUUCACUGGGUUUAAAGGGUGCGUAGGUGGGCUGGUAAGUCAGUGGUGAAAUCUCCGGGCUUAACUCGGAAACUGCCAUUGAUACUAUCAGUCUUGAAUACCGUUGGAGGUCAGUAGAAUAUGUCAUGUAGCGGUGAAAUGCUUAGAUAUGACAUAGAAUACCAAUUGCGAAGGCAGCUGGCUACACGAAUAUUGACACUCAGGCACGAAAGCGUGGGGAUCAAACAGG